rnacentral:rRNA from 1 species
AGUGAACGCUGGCGGUAGGCCUAACACAUGCAAGUCGAACGGCAGCACAGUAAGAGCUUGCUGUGACGGGUGGCGAGUGGCGGACGGGUGAGGAAUACAUCGGAAUCUACUUUUUCGUGGGGGAUAACGUAGGGAAACUUACGCUAAUACCGCAUACGACCUACGGGUGAAAGCAGGGGAUCUUCGGACCUUGCGCGAUUGAAUGAGCCGAUGUGGGAUUGGCUAGUUGGCGGGGUAAAGGCCCACCAAGGCGACGAUCCGUAGCUGGUGUGAGAGGAGGGUAGCCCACACUGGAAGGUAGACGGGCUCAAGAGUACUACGGUAGGCAGCAGUGGGGAAUAGUGGACAAUAGUAGGAAGACUUGUCCAGCCAUACCGCGUGGGUGAAGAAGGCCUCGCGGUUGUAAAGCCCUUUUGUUGGGAAAGAAAAGCAGCAGGUUAAUACCCCGCUGUUCUGACGGUACCCAAAGAAUAAGCACCGGCUAACUUCGUG